rnacentral:rRNA from 1 species
UACGGAAGGCAGCAGUGGGGAAUAUUGCACAAUGGGCGCAAGCCUGAUGCAGCUAUGCCGCGUGUAUGAAGAAGGCCUUAGGGUUGUAAAGUACUUUCAUCGGGGAGGAAAAACAAAACUAAUAAUUUUAUUUUCUUGACGUUACCCGAAAAAGAAGCACCGGCUAACUCCGUGCCAGCAGCCGCGGUAAUACGGAGGGUGCUAGCGUUAAUCAGAAUUACUGGGCGUAAAGAGCACGUAGGUGGUUUUUUUAAGUUCAGAUGUGAAAUCCCUGGGCUUAACCUAGGAACUGCAUUUUGAAACUGAAAUACUAGAGUAUCGUAGAGGGAGGUAGAAUUCUAGGUGUAGCGGUGAAAUGCGUAGAUAUCUGGAGGAAUACCUGUGGCGAAAGCGGCCUCCUAAACGAAUACUGACACUGAGGUGCGAAAGCGUGGGGAGCAAACAGGGAUUAGAUACC